UCACGCGAUCACUGUGCUGGCCGCAUAGAGCUGACUGCGUCGUGAAACCAAAGCAAGAAAACUCUCGGCCGUUUUAAGUCCAGCGAGCUUAAUAACUUGGACUCAGGUUAUAAUGAAGGCAUCUAAUAACAAAGUGAAUCCUGACUUAGCGAAAGAGCGAGCGAAAGCUUCAUUUGACACAACAGAACUGACUUACCUGCUUCAUGGAGGACGACAGAAGACGGAGAGGAAGAGAUUCUUAGAGUCUUUGUUAGUGAAGGAUCCCGUGUUUAGCAAGGAAGACGAAUAUGUCCUGGACCGCAAGCAUAAUUAUGAGAGAAAUUUACAGAAAGGAUUACAGAUUGUCAAACUGGCCAAGAAUUAUCAAAUCACUGAUCAACAGGAGUUGGGCAUGUUAGAAAAGUCUGCAGGGGGUAUUUUUCCAUUUCACCUUAGCAGAGUUAUGUUUAUUCCCACUUUAAAGGGUCAGGGAACAGAGGAACAGAAAGCCAAGUGGCUGCCUUUAGCAGAAUCUUAUCAGAUUAUUGGAACUUAUGCACAGACUGAACUAGGACAUGGGACUUUUGUGCGAGGCUUGGAGACUACAGCAACAUACGACAAGACAACGCAAGAGUUUGUUAUUCAUUCACCGUCACUGUCAGCAUGUAAAUGGUGGCCAGGAAACAUGGGCAAGUCUUCAAAUUUUGCUGUUGUGCCUGCAAGGCUAAUAGUAGAUAAAAAGGAUCAUGGAAUACAGAUGUUCAUAGUUCAGCUGCGGGAUCGACAGACACAUCAGCCUCUGCCUGGUGUAACGGUAGGAGAUAUUGGAGCCAAAUUUUCUCCAACUCUGAAUGGAGCUGACAAUGGAUAUCUAAUGUUUGACCAUGUACGAAUUCCACUCGACCAAAUGCUGAUGGGGCUAGCAAAGCUUUCCCCUGAUGGCACCUUCACCAAACCAGCAAACACCAAACUUUUGUAUGGCACCAUGAGUUUUGUGCGAGCAGCCAUUGUUCAUGAUUGCUACGGCGGACUUUCCCAAGCAAUAACCAUUGCUAUUCGUUACAGUGCAGUACGGAGGCAGAGUCAACUCAAACCUAGUGAGCCGGAAGCACAGAUUAUCGCCUAUAAAACCCAACAGUACAAACUGUUACCAGGUUUAGCCAUGGCUUAUGCUACCAAGUUUACUUUUGACCAUGUCUGGAGAUCAUUUCAAGAAAUGCAGAAGCAAGUUGCUGCGGGAGAAUUUUCUAUGUUACCAGAGGUGCAUGCUAUCACCAGUGGUCUUAAAGCGUUCUGUACAUCAACAUCCAUGCACCAUGCUGAGACAUGUCGACUGGCUUGUGGUGGACAUGGUUUCUUACUGUACAGCGCUCUUCCUGGGUUAUACACAGUGCUAAAUGCUGCUUGCACUUACGAGGGAGAUAAUGACGUUCUUUAUUUACAAGUAGCUAGGUAUCUUAUGAAAUGUACUUCACAAGUUAAACAGGGUAAGACACCUCCCUUGUCACUUUCAUUCUUGUCGCGGAAACCAGAAUUGUGUCCAGUAACAAGAGGUGAAGAAUUCUUGGAUCCUCAAGUGCAAAGGAAAAUUUACUAGGAUAGAACAUCAAGCGAGGUUAUGGCUGUGGCAGAGAGAUUGCAGAGCAGAAUCUUUUCUGGAAUGGAUUCUGCUGAUGCUUGGAAUGAAGUGUCCGUAGACUUGAUACGUUGUGCAAAGGACUACAGUAACUAUGUUAUGGUGUUAUGCGUACUGGAAUCAAUGGAGAUGCUGUCUGGCGUGAGCUCAAGUUUGCGCAGGGU
rnacentral:misc_RNA from 1 species